GCGCGGGGCGUAUCGGGGCGCGCGGGAGGACGGCAUAAGCGAUAUUGGGUUUUAUUAAGUAUGAAUGCAGCGUCUGACAGCAAACACCGUAUUUCCCGCGCGCCGCUCGCUUGUCCCACAUUCACGAACAUUACAACAAAUGCAAAUAGUGACACAAUUAACUUAUUGAUUCAAGGUUAAAAUUGGACAGAACAAUAUCAGGUUAGGGAUUUAAAAGUUACAUACAAGCAAAGGAGGAUAGACGGUUACAGUAAAAAACGGGCGGUUAAAACAGUGGAAGUGUACGAGGAAGCCAAGGUCAAGGGAUGAGUUCCCCAAGCGCUGACCAGACCUAGCCUAUUGCUUUCGUGCCGCAAACAGACAGGUUACGAAGAGGAGGAGGCAGGUCAUUCCAGCACCUAGUGGCGCAGAACCUAAAGCUUCCUCGGAAACUCACCGUUCUAUGUAUUGGCAUUCUAAGUUUUAUCAAUGACGCUCUAGUGACAUGCUCACUAUCAUUAUUUCCUAACCACUGUAAUUUAUGAUAGAGGUAAGGUGGAACCUGGUAUU